rnacentral:rRNA from 1 species
GAUGAACGCUAGCGGCAGGCUUAAUACAUGCAAGUCGAGGGACAGCACAGGUAGCAAUACUGGGUGGUAACCGACAAACGGGUGCGGAACACGUACACAACCUUCCUUUAAGUGGGGGAUAGCCCAGAGAAAUUUGGAUUAAUACCCCGUAAUAUAGUUGAAUGGCAUCAUUUGAUUAUUAUAGCUACGGCGCUUAAUGAUGGGUGUGCGGCUGAUUAGAUAGUUGGCGGGGUAACGGCCCACCAAGUCUACGAUCAGUAGCUGAUGUGAGAGCAUGAUCAGCCACACGGGCACUGAGACACGGGCCCGAAUCCUACGGGAGGCAGCAGUAAGGAAUAUUGGUCAAUGGACGCAGGUCUGAACCAGCCAUGCCGCGUGAAGGAUUAAGGUCCUCUGGAUUGUAAACUUCUUUUAUUUGGGACGAAAAAGGGCCUCUCUAGGUCAACUGACGGUACCAGAUGAAUAAGCACCGGCUAACUCCGUGCCAGCAGCCGCAGUAAAAC